AGUUAGUGUGUGUAGGCUCAUCCAUUUUUAAAAAUGUCUACUGCUUGCUUUUUUAAAACCUUUACUUUCCAUUUCAGAAUCUCGUCUUGAAAAAAAAAUCCUAAUUUAAAAUGUCAGGAUUUUUUUUUUUUUUCUGUAUUUGAUUUAGUUUUGCUAAUUCGUCUUCAUUUUCUGACCAGAAAUAACUAAUUUAACUAGUACUGCUAUUUAUUUUAGUAACUGAUUUAGAGCUGGUACAACCUGGUGGGGCUGCUUGUGCCAACGGCAUGACGGUUAUGUCUGCUGCAGAAAACCUGGCAUCAUUGCUUGUCCUGAGGAGUAAGGAAUCCAGUUUGGAAAUCAUAGCUUUUCUAACCCCCACCCACAAAUCCAGCCUCGUGCACAUGUUAAAUCCUAUCCAUUUGAGAUAUGACCUGGAUGUGUGCCAGUCCUGCCCCUGCAGCACCAUGUGUACCAGCAGUUCUGACCUGCAGAAGAAUUUGCUGGGGAAGCAUUGAGUGGCUGCUGAGAAGAGAGAAAUGGAGAAACCAGGAUGGGAGCCUCCCAGGGAUGGGGAAGAAGGGUCAUGAGCGGAGCAGUGUGAAGAGGGGAAGCUCUCUCUGCGCACCAACCAAGAUUUCACCUUUGUGUGCAUGUGUCCUAUGAAGUGGUCGGCAAGUUGUGUUUAUGGUGGUAGUCUGAAAAAUGUAGGAGCUCUUGGAUGAUCUCUGCAAGAUGUGCUUUCACUUACCCAUGUGCAUCUCUUUGUUUCUGAAUUUAAAAUGUGGUACAUCUUAGUGAAGAAAACUAGGUUUCUAUGCAGGCAGCCUCUUUUCCAGCUCAGAAGUAAAAGAUGUCAAAAUAUGCUUUUUGAACAAACCUUCUUAGAGGCAGAAGGCUUUCUCUAUUGAUCAGAAAAGCUCAGAGUGACCAAACUGAAGUAAAAAUCCCAGGAUGAUAUGGAGGAGGGUAUAAUUUUUUUGUUGCAGAUGGCAUGUCUGAGCAGCAUUUGGCUUUGGUUCCUGGACUAAUGCAGCAUGUUCUUGCUGCCGGUAAAUCCAGUCUACUAAAGAUGUGGGUGCUGCAAGACAUUCCUAAAGGCUCCCCAUUGCACCCCUGUUUCACUUGUGGCCUUUGGUCCCUUUCUCGAUCUUCAAAUCUGCAAGUGUCAAAGUUAAUAGAAAACAUGGAAGGGGGGAAUUGAAAAAAAUCUGAAAGGUUUUCUGUGGGAAUGCUGAGCAGGAAUCCCAGAAGUGCACAAAAGAGUUUUUAGUCUGAGCACCUGUGACACUUAAACACCACUGAAAGCUUUAUCUGCAGCUUUCCUGAUCAAGGGAUGGUCCCAGGCAAUGCAGUUGCUAGCUGAAAUUUGAUUUUUUUUUUUGAGGGAUUUAUAUGCUUUCGUCUCAUGAGGAUUUCCCACUGCAAAUAUCUAGAGGUGUGUGUAGCCCAGGACAUGUGAACAGAAAGAACUCUGCAUAUUUUGUGGUUUUGUUGAGUGGCAGUGCAGCCCAGGUGAUGUAAGAGUGCCUCUGAUUUCCAGCUCUGGUACUUCUUUCUUGGAGAAACCACUAACCUUAACAGAUCUGUGGUUUUUUGGUCUGCACACUGACAAUGGUGGUAUGUACUUGCUGUCCUCUGUAAAGGGACCCCACAGGAGUUGGGG
rnacentral:lncRNA from 1 species